UACGUAGGUGGCGAGCGUUGUCCGGAAUUACUGGGUGUAAAGCGCGUGUAGGCGGGAGGCCAAGUCUGCGGUGAAAUCGCUCGGCUCAACUGGGCGGGGUCCGUGGAAACUGGUCACCUGGAGGACGGUAGAGGCGAGUGGAAUUCCCGGUGUAGUGGUGAAAUGCGUAGAGAUCGGGAGGAACACCAGUGGCGAAGGCGGCUCGCUGGGCCGGACCUGACGCUGAGACGCGAAGGCGUGGGGAGCGAACGGGG
rnacentral:rRNA from 1 species